UUCAUCAGGACCAAAUAGGGCGCUGUGGGAGGUUCUCCGACCUGCGCGCGAGAGGCUCACCCGGAACAACUGCAAGGCUUGAGAGUCCCUUCGCAGACCUGAAAGCCGUUGAAGACAGUCGGGCGGGCGCACGGGGUCAGAGCACCAGAUCUGAAGAGACGCUUGCACGCUGCCGUUCCGGACGGGCUUCUUGCCCUGCUCUGUGUUGCUUGGCAUGGUGGAUCUGUGUGAGCAGUUGACUGCCCUCUUAGAUUGGGUCAGGGAGAUCAGGUAAACCACUCACUGCCUGCCGGCUGCCUCUCACCGAGCCCCAGAGGCUGGCCCAGGGACAGUGGCCCGGGGGCAGACACCUUCUCAUUUGUACAGUGCACUUUUCUUCGAGACGGUUAUUCCUACUCUCCCGAGUAAAGUCAGACUCAGAAGGUCAAGCUCCUCCGAGAUCUUAAGGUUAGUGGUAAUGAAGUCUCAUGUGUUCUCAAGUCAUGAGCUUAGACUGUUUCGGGGACCGCCGGGAAGCGUGAGACUGCGCCACACCGUCACACGGAGCAGAAUCUUCGUCACUGGAUAAAGAAAGAUGAGCGGUUUUGAGUCCAUGGUGCCAGUGGCAAUUCCACCCUUCCCUCUGCUGUGAGAAAGCACAGGGUCCAUACCAGGCGUACACGUGCAGGUUAACAGUCCAUCCCGGCUUCAGCUCCUGGCAACCAUGAAGAACUACUACGCACUGACUCAGGCCAGUCUCAAAUAAGACAUCUCUCACAGUGGCCGCAGGCCAAGAUGAUCCGGGCAGUCCUUUAGUUGGAAGUUCCCGCUUUCCUGGUGACUCUGACAAUGGGAAGCAAGCAGCUCUCUUUAGUCACUUCCAAUGUGCGUACUCAAAUGGCCUUAUUAACAGUGUUUACGGUGUUCGUAUAAAUAGGCAUUUACUUAGAAAUCAAACCAUGUGUGGUGGUCCAAGCCUUUAAUUCCAUCACUUUGGAGGUGGAGAUAGGAUGAACAAUUUAUGCUCGUCUUUGAUGGAUUGGAGAGCUCCUGGCCAGCCUGGCCUACACGAGAGGCCCUGCCUGCGUCCAAAAACAAGUACAUAAAAUAAUAAGCGAGGCAUCAGCACUCAGAAGUCUGAGCUGGGGAGAUCUGAAGUUCAAGAUGAACGGGCUAGGGCUACCUAGGGCGGUCUAGACCUGAUGGAGUACAUACAUAGACUGCUUUGGGACAGGUCCCAUGCACUCCAUGUCAGCCUUCUAACUCCGUUUAUAACAGACAUGUGAUGAGGGAGGUCCGCCUGUGUGCUGUGAGUGUAUGCUUCUAUUGGUUGAUGAAUAAAACUGUUUCAGCCAGUGAACGGGGUGUAGCCAGGCAGGAAGUAUAGGCGGGGCUACCAGACUAGGAGAAUUCUGGGAAGAAGACUGGAGAGUGGCUCUCAAGGAAAGCCACUGCUGAGUAACUACCAGGAAGGUUCCUGUAAGCCUCAACUCCUCAAGGCAUUUUGAAGACUAUACAAAUUAAAGGAGCUGUUCUCAUUUGUUCUGCAAAGCCUGGGAAUAGGGUCUAGAUCUUGGCAGAGUGCUUGCUUAGUGUGAGGCCCUGGGUUGAAUCCUCAGCGCUACACACACACACCCACACACACACAGGACAUAUGCGUGUGUGUACAUAUUGUGUGUGGGUGUGGGAAGGAGUGGAGGAGAGUGGAUGUGUAGAGAGAGUGUGUGUUUUCAUCUAGUGAAUGCCUUCUUUGUACUUUACAGUUAGAGCAAAUGCUAGCGUGCAAAGGUGGGAGAAAGGCCUCUCUCUGUUUGCAGUUGCUUACUUGCUUGAAAGAACCCAGAACUAUGACUAAAAAGACAAUAACAAGUGUCUGAGAGGAGGAAACUGGAGAACCCGGCAUCACUGGCAGGGCGUCGGAAUGCACUGUGGAGCUCAAAGCAGACAACGGGCAGUUCUUCAAGAAGUGAAAGAGCCAUGUAUGACUCAACAGCUCGCACGACACACGACGACGACGAGACACAGCCAGGAGAAGUGAAAGUGCACAAUCACAUGAGCGCUGGCACCAGAACAGCGGAGCAGUUCCAUUCCGAAAGGAGGGAAAGCCCAUGCCAUGCGGGGCAGACGAAAGGCCAGUGCAGCUUAUCCGUGGGAUGAAACAGAAGAGAUCGUUUGUGGGUGUUGACAGCAUGAAUGAACUUGUUAGAAGUGUCAUGCUUGGAGGGCUGGAGAGAUGGUGCCACGCCUCAAUGCACUUGCUCCUCCAGAGGACUUGGGUUCAAUUCCUAGCAACCACAUGUUGGCUCACAGCCAUCCUUAAUCCACUCCCAGGGGAUCCAACUCGUUCUUUUGGUCUCUGCUGGCCCCAGGCAUGGACAUGGUGUGCAGAUAGACAUAUAUACAGUCAUGGGCAUGGUGUGCAGAUAGACAUACAGACAGACAUGGACACGGUGUGCAGAUAGACAUACAUACAGACAGACAUGGACACCGUGUGCAGAUAGACAUACAGACAGACAUGGACACCGUGUGCAGAUAGACAUACAGACAUGGACACCGUGUGCAGAUAGACAUACAGACAGACAUGGACAUGGUGUGAGUGGGCAUGAGCGGUAUCACACACGCACACACCCAGCCUGGGACAGCAAUAUGGCUUCGUGGGUAAAGGCGCUUGCCCCCAAGCCAGACAAGCUGAGUUGAAUCCCCAGCCCCGAGUGGUGGAAGGAGAAACUGACUCCUACAGGCUGUCUUCUGACUCCCACAUCUAUGCAAUGACACACAUGCACACCCCCUACACAAACACAAUCAAUAAAACAGCUUUACAGAGCUGUUAGAAACACUAUGCAAUGAAAGAGCAGAGGGAAAAAAAAUAUCCUGCUAAGAUGCCUGUUGCUCUGUGUGUUUAGGGUUGGGGGUGGGGCUAAAAAAAAAAAAAAAAAAAAAAAACAGCUUGGGAAGUUUGCUUUGGCUCAUGCUCCCUGAGACUUAAGUCCAGGGUCACUGGGCCCAGUUGUUUUGGCCUGAGAUGUCACAGUACAUCAUGAGGGUCCCAGCGAGAAGUUAAGGAAGACCAUCAACCCAGCCUCCUAGAAACAAAGUAGGGAGGGGUACCCCACUGUCCCCUUCAAAGGCAAAUAACGGAGCUUCUCUCCCAGGAGGGGUUGCUAAUUAACAUUAGGGUCUUUGGGGAAAACUAGGAUCCAAACAAUAGCCAGGCCUGGCGGCACAGGUGAUCCCAGCUACUCAGGAGGCUGAGGCAGGAGGAUCACAAGUUCAGGCCUGCUUGAGCUGCACAGCCAGUCCAAGGCGAGCCCCGGCAACUAGGCCAGAGCCCUCCUCAAAGUGAAAGUGAAAAUGACUGAAUAAGACCCAUAGUAGAAAGCAUGUCAUACAUAAAUGAGGGUCAGAGUUUGAUCUGCAGGACCACAAAAAGUAACUUGACGAUCGUAUGAUCCAUGGGCUAUAUCUGUGAAGUUCAAGGUUCAGGAAAUUACAGGUCUAUGUUUUGUGUUCAAUGCAUGCCACCUGAAAACAGAGGUUAGCAAACACAAUUUCUGCCUUCAAGUUGGUCACAGUGUAGAAAUUCUGACACGUUUCUGGGGUAGAAUCUGUGCAUUCAUUUUGUUUUGUUUUUAUUGACAUUUUUUUAUUUUGUCCCUGUGUAUGCAUGUGUAUGUCGUGUGUGUGUGUGUGUGUGUGUGUGUGUGUGUGUGUGUGUGAGAGAGAGAGAGAGAGAGAGAGAGAGAGAGAGAGAGAGAGGUGCCUGUGUCUGUGUAUGUCUGUGUUAGCUGUAUACACGUACCAUGGUGCAUGAGACAGCCACUUACAAAAGAGAGUCAAUUCUCUCCUCCUACCAUGAGUCCCGGGGUUCAAACUCAGGUCAUUAGUCUUGACAACGGAUACUUGUACCACUGAGCAUUUCAACAACCCAGGAAGUACUCCAGGAGAUCCUCAUAUCUGUCAGAGUUGAAAGGUUAAGAGUUCUGUGUGCCCAACAGCCAUCACAGGAUGUGUGUUCUUAGAGAAUGAGCAUCAGGCCUGGGCACAGCUCAGUGGCAGAGCUUCUGCCUAGGAGGUAGGGGGACUUGGCUUCCAUCUGGAGCACCAAAUAAUAAUAAUAAUAACAAUAAAUGAAUAAAUGCAAGAAGUGCUGGAGAACACUGAUAAAGGUUUCUACACAGAAAGCCUGAUGGAAGUGGUAUGGGAGGAACAGGAAAGAGCGUCAAAGGUCAGAAUGUCCCCAAAUGAUCAUGGUACCAGGGGCCAGAGAAAGCCUGGCAAACAAGACUCUGAGAUGUCAUGGCAUGAUCCCACCUUAUCUGUUAGGAAUGGGUGCUGGAAAGCAAGUUAUUGGUGUUGGCUUAUGGGGCUCUGUGAGCUACUCUUAAGUUGUUGAACUGCAUUCUCUUUUUCUAAUUUUUGUUUAAUUUGUGACAAGGUUUCACGUGUCCCAGACUGGUCUUGACCUCAUUGCGUAUCUGAAGACAACUUUGAGCUUCUGAUACACCUGUCUCUGUCUUCCAAUGGCUGGGGUUACCUGUGUGCAAUACCACAUCUGGUCUUCUGCAGUGUUGGAGAUCAAACUCAGAGAUUCAUGCAUAGUCGACAAGCUCUCCAUCAACUGAGCCACAUCUCCAGCCCCAAGGAGAAGUGUUUUGUACUUGGUUGGGGUUUCUGUUUUCUUAGGGGACCUGGGAGUGGGGUGUUAAGACAGGUCUCACAGAGUCCUGGGUAGCCUCACUCUGUAGCAGAGCUUUAUAUGUAACAAAAGACAACUUUGAACUUAAGAUUUUCCCGAUGUAUUUUUUCCAUUAAGGUGACCAUGGAAAGUCUCCAUGUUUCUGAAAGAGAAAAUUGACCUAAGUGUGAACUGUGGACGUAAGAGAAAGAGAAUAGCAGUAUAAAUCAGCAACAGAUGGAGAGAGCACAGGAAGAGGCUGGACUGGAGCCAGUAGGAAGACGGUCAACAAGAGCCAUUUCUGGGCACACACAGUCUUGUGUCAUUAGCAGUUUGUAGGCUCUCAUUAAAUGUCUGGUGAACAAAUGUCCUGAAAAGCAGAGCAAGAAGGAGGAGGUGUUGAUGACGAUUCUCAAGUCGCUGAUUGAAAUGACCAUGGUGUUGUCCAAGAAGGAGCAAACAGCUUCAUUGGAGAUGUUUGAGAUUCAAAGCCAUGAAUACCGCUCUGAAGUACAGUUAUCACCAUAACAUAUAAUAAAUAAUAGUGAAAAAAGUGAAGGUCUCCUUCAAAUUUCUGCUUUGUGCUGAACAGCUCUCAUUUUAAUACAGCGCUACACUUCUAUGACCUGCACUGACAGUGAGCUUGCUUUGGUGGGGUGUUUAGAGACAUCAGGAGUAAACACCUUUUUUCCCCUGCCCGAAUGCAGAACCGAGUGUGUGGGGAGGCAUAGAGGUCAUCUGAUUCACUCCGAAAGUCUAACUCUGUCAGCAGGACAGGGAUCUUAAUGAUGUUUGACUCCAAAAGAAAGUUGCAGCCAUCUGACCACCAGCUAUGGCAUCCCAAAAGAAAAGAUGGCCAGAGUAUAGACUAGGGUAAGCCUCUGCAGACAGAUUGAGAAAAGAGAACUAGAGAUUCCAGAUUUCUCCUUCUACAUGUCUCAGGCCAAUGGAACGUGAAAGGAAAGAGGAAUCAUGAGUGUCCGUCACCUAAACAUCCCACUCAGAAACCUGAACCACAGGGAAUAAGUGGCCCACCACAUAUCAGGCCAUUAUAAUAUGAGGGGUUAUGAAGGGAAAGCUCCCAUCUUGUACUGAUGACUCCCUCCCAAGCAAACCAAAGGCUCCUGAUGCAAAUGCGUGCCUUGACAAAUUAUAAAUUACUAGUGUUGAAGGCUGAAAUUAUAAUCUAGAGAUCUUCUGUGGCUUUAUUUUUCCACAAAACAGAGUCAGUGUUCCCAUGGUCUCAACAGAAAAGACUGGUUUUAUAGAGAGAAGGACAGAAGGAAACACAAACAGAACAGAAACAAAUGGACUGGACGUUUCGGUCACUUUCUUUGUAAGAUAAAGGGAGAGAGCGCAAUGGAAAGUCAUUGGCAAGUUAAUAUCAGAUGACUCAGGGUUACCUUUGCUUGUGUAAGAAUGAAGGCACAGGGAUCAGGGAAAUGCAAAUUUAAACAGUUUUGAGAUUUCAUCUUCAGUCAGAAUGUCCAAGAUCAAUAAAACGUGUGGCAACUCAUGCUGUCGAGGAUCUGGAGCAGAGGGAACACCCAUCCGUCACUGGUGGGUGUGCAAACUUGUACAGCCACUAUGGAAAUCAGUGUGGAGGUUCCUCGGAGUAGAUCUAUCUCAAGACCCAGCUAUACCAUUUGUCUUAGUUAGGUUGACAUUGCUGUGAGAGGACACCAUGACCACGGCUUCUCUUGCAAAGGAGAACAUUCAAUUGGCUGGCUUACAGUUCAGAAGCUCAGUCCAUUAUCAUCAUGGCGGGACAUAGUGAUGUGUGGGCAGACACGGGGCUGGAGAAGGAGCUGACAGUUCUACACCUUGCAGGCAACAGGAAGUGCACUGAGUGUUCCACUGAGAGACGCUGGAGCAAAAGAGACCUCAAAGUCCACCCCCGCCCCCGUGACACACUUCCUCCAAACACUUCCUCCAACAAAGCCACACCUCCUAAUAGUACCGCCUCCUUUGGGGGCCAUUUUCUUUCAAACCACCACACCACUCUUGGGCAUCUACCCAAAGGACUCUGCAUCAAACGGCAGAGACACCUGCCUCAUCCAUGAUCACUGCCAAUUCAUAUUAGCCAGAAAUUGGAAAAAACAGAGAUGUUAUCAACAGAUGAUUGGAUGAAGAAAAUGUGGUACAUUUACACAAUGGAAUAGUAUUCUGCUGUUAAAAAAUAACAUCGUGACGAGACAGAGAAGCGUGUGUAAGAUGAGUUUCGUGAAGGCGUCUUGGCAGUAUCAGGUCUCUAGGGUCUCAGAAAGUAAUGGGCUCUCAUCGUAGAUCUCAUGACCUACUGUAGUGGAAAACGUCACUGUCAAGCCAUUUUGUCUCUAUACUGGUCAGCAGCUGAAGCACACUCCUGCUCAUUAGUGUCUCUUUGAUUUAAGGGACUUUUCUGGCUGUGGGCCUGUGGUGAUAUUUUGUUUAUUCUGUAACAAAUAAAG